rnacentral:lncRNA from 1 species
UUGCUUCAACUGGGCCAUUUCGUCAGAUUCCUUGAAUACCAUAACUACAGUGGCAAGGAACAUAAAUACUAUAAGCAUAAUAUGAAGUGCAAACGUUGAGGCCCCUGUCAAAUUCCACCUGCCUCAAUGCUUUGAUACUUGCUUUUAUCAACUUUUACAUAUCCAAAUAAUGGCUUCCUACUCAAUAUGUAAUUUCACAAUAAACAUAUAUAUAUAUGUUGUCAUUCUGAUAUAUUUCAAUAUCUUGAAGAAUGACCUACUGGAAUUUCUAAGCAUUGGAUGUCACAAAACUGGUAAUGUAGAGAAUAUAAAUGACACCUACAAUUUUCCUUCUUUGGAUGAAAAAAAAAAACAGGAAACACAGACUUCAAUUGCAUAAAUCACCAAAAUCAUUAAAAUCAUAAUGGAACGAGAAUAAAACCAUAAUAAACUAGCAAUACAACAGCACUAAAAUGGCAAUACAAAACCACUAAAUUGGCAAUACGAUAGCAAAAAACAACACUAAAACAUCAAUAACAACAGCAAAAUAACAGCAAAACAACAUAAUCUCAAAUCAAACGCAAGAAUCAAUCCACAAACAACAAACCCAUUCAAUGUUUCAAACAAGGAAUCAUCAGAAUCAGACAAUUUCAAAGAAACCCCUCAACCCUAAAUCAAUUUCAAAGAAACCCAUAAACCAAUUUCAGACAAACCCCUAAUCGAAUUUCAGAGAUACUCGUAAACCCUAAACCAGUUUCGUAGAAACCCUAAACCAAUUUCAUAGAAACCCAUAAACUCUAAACCAACUUCAGAAAAAUCCUUAAACCAAUUCAAAUUGACGAUGAACAGUAACUUUUGCAGAUGAACGAUGGAAGAGGAAGACCAUUGCGUUAGAGAGAGAGAGAGAGAGAGAGAGAGAGAGAGAGAGAGAGCUACACGAGAGAGAGCUGCGCAAGAGAGGUCGAGAGCUUCCCGCAACGGUGAAAGAGAGAAAGGAGAAUGAGAGCUGACCGAAGAGAGAGUGAGACCUGAGCAACGGAGACAGAAAGAGCUGAGCGACAUAGAGAUUGAGAGGCGUGAUAGAGAGAACAAAAUUUC